rnacentral:lncRNA from 1 species
GUGAGCUUUCUUGUUCAACGUUAGAAAUUGCAAAAACUGCCUAAAUUCUUCUUCAUUAAUUGAAUUUGCAGAACUGCCAGCAUUCUUAUUCUUUUCAACUAAAAUGGAUUUGCAGAAACUUUGAGUCUUUGAGUGAGGCAGGGCCACAGGGAGCAGAGCACAAGAAGCAAAUAUGCAGGGAGCAGAGCACAACAAGCAAAUAUGCAGUGACGAUGAGAUGAAAUUUGAGUCUUUGAAUACUUUGUUUUCAACUAUUGUCCGCUUUGUUCUUGUGUCAUUCAUUCAUUUGUGUGAACUGUAAGUGAUGGUAUGAAGUGAUGAUGACAUGAACUGUAAGUGGCUAAGUGAUAUGAAUUAUGAAGUGAUGAAUUGAUGAUGAGAUGAACUGUAAGAGUGUAAGUGAUGAACUGAAGUUGAUGUGAGAGAGUGAGAGAGUGAGAGUUAUAAGUUAUUUGAUUGUUUUACAUUUGCUUAUGUUUUUCUAUUGCUGA